UGUGAGUGGCCGAGAGUUGCCCGUGC
rnacentral:piRNA from 1 species